rnacentral:sRNA from 1 species
UAAUGACAGAAAAAUACUAGAC